AAAUAUGCAUUGGUGUACAUAAGGCUCCUCUUCCUCAUCAUCCCUUCGCCAGAAUAGAUAAUGAAGAGUUCAACACAAGUUCAAGUUCUUUUUUUAGCAGAGAAAAAUGAGAAUAAGAAUAAGAAUAAUCCUAACAAUAAAGUUCCAUCAGCUUCGCUGCUUAGACCCCUAAUAAGAAUAAUCCUAACAGAUACAAUAGGGUUCCAGCAGCUUCGCCGCUUGGACCCCCAACAGAACUAAA